rnacentral:lncRNA from 1 species
CUCAAGAGUAGAAGGGCCAAGAGCAGGGCCAGGAGUUGAGCCAAGAGUGAGAACUAAGAGGGAACCAGGAGUGGGGGCCAGGACUACGUAGGGCCCAGGGGUAGAAAUAGAGUAGAGCCAAGAGUAGAACUAAAAGAGUAGAGCCAAGAGUAGGGCAGGAAUAGAGCCAAGAGUAGAACUAAGAGCAGGACCAGGAGUGGGGCCAGGACUACAUAGAGCCAGGUGUAGAAAUAAGGGUAGAACCAGAGUAGAACUAAAGAGCCAAGAGUAGGGCCAGGAGUAGAACUAGGAGUAGGGCCGGUAGUAGAACUAAGAGUAGGGCCAGGAGUAGAACUAAGAGCCAAGAGUAGGCUCCAAAGAGUCAGACGUCAGGAGUAGAACUAAGAGCCAAGAGUAGACUGAAGGAGUUAAGGAGUCAGGAGUAGAACUAAGAGUAGGGCCAGGAGUAGAACUAAGAGUAGGGCCAAGAGUAGAACUAAGAGUAGAGCCAGGAGUAGAACUAAGAGUAGAGCCAAGAGCAGGGCCAGGAGUAGAGCCAAGAGUAGAACUAAGAGCAGGACCAGGAGUGGGGCCAGAACUAUGUAGGGCCAGGGGUAGAAGUAGGAGUAGAACCAAGAGUAGGGCCAAGAGCAGAACUAAGAGUAGAGUCUACUCUUAGUUCUACUCCUGGCCCUACUCUUAGUUCUACUCCUGGCCCUACUCUUAGUUCUACUCCUGGCUCUACUCCUAGUUCUACUCUUGGUUCUACUCCUAGUCCUACUCUUGGCUCUUAGUUCUACUCUUGGCUCUACUCUUAGUUCUGCUCUUGGCCCUACUCUUGGUUCUACUCCUACCCCUGGCCCUACGUAGUCCUGGCCCCACUCCUGGUCCUGCUCUUAGUUCUACUCUUGGCUCUACUCCUGGCCCUGCUCUUGGCUCUACUCUUAGUUCU